GCAGCAGCAGCAGCCCCCUCCCACACCAAUUCUUUGCUCAGAAAACAAGUUUGUGAUAUUCAGGAGAGAGUCAUCUGAAACUGUAAUGGAGGUUUUGAUUAAGCAGAUGAGGUAAAGUUCUACUUUCUCUUUUUGGUAAAGGAAUUGGAGUUUCAUUAAACACAAAAGCUGAUUACACGGGUACUUCUAUCCCUCAUCCAACAUAGGUAAAAGUAACAUGUUCCAUUUUCUCCUUGAUUUUUCUCAAAUUUUUCGAUUGUAUCUCGUGAAUAACUUUUGUUCUCACGGGUAUAUAAUAAAGUUAGCAAAAUACCUUUAAUCCAAAGUCCACAUAUUUAUUUUUAUUAUUUUAGUAGGUAAAAUUAACGAUCUAGUUUGUUACGAGAAUAGAAAUUAUCCGCAAAAUAUUAACAGAAAAAUAAAAAUUAUAAUGUGUUACAUGGAAGAAAUUGAAAUCACGAAAGGUGUUAAUGGAAUUUAAACCCUUUUGAAAGUAGAAAUCAACUACUAUAAGCAAUAAAUUUCUGCACUGUUUAUUAAGACCAAUAGCUGAUUGAAUUCCCCUACUUUUGUUUCUGACAUUAGAAAUACAGGAAUUGCAGUAAUCUUGUAUAGAAACUUAUUGCUUACUGAAGUGCAGAAUAUAGGGAAAAAGAAAACUAGCUGUGUAGAUAAAUUUGAGCAGAAGAAGUAAAAAAAUAUAUCUGCUUGGAAACUUGCCUUUCACCGUGUGUAAGAUGUUGAUGUCCUUAGGGAUCUGCUGCCAUUUGACUGACCGCUUGUGUCAGGGGACGAUUUUUCUGGUGCCGGACGAGGAACAAUAGGAGAGUCGAGCAGUGUUAGAAACCAAAGGCUACCACCAC
rnacentral:lncRNA from 1 species